rnacentral:tRNA from 1 species
UGUGGGAUAGUUUAAUUGGCAGAACAGCGGAUUCUGGCUCCGCCAGUCUUGGUUCGAGUCCAAGUCCCACAGCUA